GAUCAUGGCUCAGGAUGAACGCUGGCGGCGUGCCUAACACGUGCAAGUCGAGCGAUUCUCUUCGGAGAAGAGCGGCGGACGGGUGAGUAACGCGUGGGUAACCUGCCCUGUACACACGGAUAACAUACCGAAAGGUAUGCUAAUACGGGAUAACAUAAGAAAUUCGCAUGUUUUUCUUAUCAAAGCUCCGGCGGUACAGGAUGGACCCGCGUCUGAUUAGCUAGUUGGUGAGGUAACGGCUCACCAAGG
rnacentral:rRNA from 1 species